AAAGAAAAACUACAUGGAAUGAGGAAAUAGACCACUCCUGCCUUCAAAAUCCUCUUCCUAAGGUUUGUAGAAUUCCUAAGAACUCAGGAAAGACAUCAGCAGAGAGCAAUGGUCGUCACAGCCAGAUGCACUGUCACCUCCAUUCAUACAGCACUAACUUUGUCCUUUCAGUCCCAUGGUGUUUAGAGAUCUGUUCUCCUAACAGCUUCUCGCCUAUUUCACAAGGCCUAUUGCAAAACUAGCUCCACACAGAAUGCACCCACCCAGCUACUUGUCGAAUUACAACCUGAUGAUGGAUCCACCAGAAACUAAGAAUGGAAAGGUUGUAAAGAAAUCACAG
rnacentral:antisense_RNA from 1 species